rfam:Ciona savignyi cont_31946, whole genome shotgun sequence.
CCUUCGAUAGCUCAGUUGGUAGAGCGGUGGACUGUUGAAGUUGUGAUGGUUAUCCAUAGGUCGCUGUUUCGAAUCCGGCUCGAAGGA